GGAAAUGACAUCAUUGUGGAGAAACCGCGGUAUCCUUACUUUCUGUGGAGACAUGGCUGCGGCCAGUUUGGGCAGUGUUUGCAGAAAAGUCUUAACCGGGCUGAAAGCUUCUAAGUCGCUAAUAAGUCUUCAGGCCCCACCUAGCACAGGUUGCAGGUUUUCUCUUAGUCUUUUGCCUAAGAAUAUACCAAAUGUCACAUCUUUUCACCAGUGUAGAUUACUUCAUACCACAUUGUCAAGAAAAGGACUGGAAGAAUUUUUUGAUGACCCAAAGAAUUGGGGGGAAGAAAAAGUGAAAUCUGGAGCUUCAUGGACCUGUCAGCAAUUAAGGAAUAAAAGUAAUGAAGAUUUACAUAAACUUUGGUAUGUCCUACUGAAAGAAAGAAACAUGCUCUUAACUUUAGAGCAGGAGGCCAAGCGGCAGAGGUUGCCAAUGCCCAGUCCGGAGCGGUUAGAAAAGGUAAUAGAUUCCAUGGAUGCCUUAGAUAAAGUUGUCCAGGAAAGAGAGGAUGCCCUAAGACUUCUUCAGACUGGUCAAGAAAAAGCUAGACCUGGUGCCUGGAGAAGAGACAUCUUUGGAAGAAUCAUCUGGCACAAGUUCAAGCAGUGGCCUAUACCUUGGUACCUAAAUAAAAGAUACAACAGGAAACGAUUCUUCGCAAUGCCCUAUGUGGAACGUUUUAUGAGAUUGAGAAUUGAGAAACAAGCCCGCAUUGAAGCAAGGAAGAAAAGUUUAGAGAAAAAGAAAGAAAAAUUUCUUCAGGAAAAGUUUCCACGUCAUUCUGAAGCCCAGAAGUCAAGUGUUGUCUAAGAUGUCUGAAUUCUGAAGUUACUAUUUUGUUUUCCUUGGAUAACAAUCUAUAUACAAAAAAAUACUUCAUGAAGGCACCUGGGUGGCUCAGUAGUUAAGCAUCUGACUUUGGCUCAGGUCAUGAUCUCACAGUUCAUGAGAUCGAACCCCGCAUCAGGUAGACACCAACCAGCCCUGCUUCCGCUAAAAAACAAAAACAGGCCCUGCUUCAGGCAAGCCCCAUUUCUCUCUCUUCCCCUCCUGGGAUUCUCUCUCUCUCUCUCUCUCUCUCUCUCCCUGCCCCUUCGCUCACUUGUGCCCUCUCUCUCUUGCUCUCAAAAGAGAAAAAAAGAAAAAAAAAGAAGUACUUCCUGACAUUUACUUUGGCUGCUCUGAGGUGAAGGGGAAAUUCCCCAAGUCUACGGUGCAAAUAAAUACAAGGACUCUUCCUCCUGAUUCAAGGUAGGCACCCAUCUGAGCAACGUGAAAAACCCAGCACCAUGACUUCAACCAUUUGCCCCAAGAACCAACUCCUGACUUCCUCAACCUCACCAAGAGGCCAGGGAACAACCAGAACCUGAGAAGGAAUGAUUUAAGUCCUGACCAGUUCCAAUGGGAGUAUGAAAGGGCACAAAUAUGUUAGUAGAAUCCCCACCUUUGAGAAGGGAAACUGAAAUGAGGCUGACAAAUAGCAACUGAUAAGGCACUAAAGCAUUUUGUUAAAUUAGAACAUAUAAUUCAUUUGAUAGUUAUACAAAGAUAAAUGAUGCACUGAAAUUAUUUUUAAUCUUUUUACUAAACUUAGUUUAUAUUCACUGGUACACUUAAAUCAUUCAAUAAGACUAUUUUUCAAAGUAGUUUACUAACCAAAGAUGCUAGAAUGGAGCCACCAAUCCAUGAACUAAACCUCCGUUCUACUGUUGUAUUAUUUGCAAUCAAUUUCAACCGCAUACUCUAAAAUAGAGAGGGAAGAAUAAGUAUUAGGACAAUCAAGUAAAACAGGUGACUCAAUUCAAAAAAUUCAACUUUGAGGACUUCUUAACAAUUGGUUCAAACACCAGUUACACGUGAUUAUUUUGCAAAAGCUAGGCUAAUAGUAGGCAUAGUUUGAAUUACUAUAUAGAAAGUACUUUGAUUAUGGUUUUUAAUGUAUAAUAUUUAAUAAUUACAUCAACCUUAGAAAACUAAAGGUUUUCUAAAACUAAAGAGUAUGGCAUUCACAACGAUACCCUAGAAUAACAGCAAACACAUACUUAACACUUACCUAUAAAUCAGGUAUCGUGCUAAGUGCUUCAUGUGGUAUUCCAUUUCUUCCAAUACCAAAUACCAUUACUGUCCCAACCUGCCACCUUCUAUAGUCCUCACCUUUCUACCUACUUUUUUAGUAUCUUGUCCUAAUUCCUCCUAUCUUAGGUCACUCCCACCACUCCUCCACUUCCACAUCAAAAUGCAGACAUUAGAUCUCAGGUUUUUUAUUCAUAACUGGUUUCCUCCCAAAUGAGUGUUUAUGUUUUGAACUCACACUCUCUUGAUAAACAUGGUUUUGUGGCUCAGUACUAUUGCUUCCUGUCUCCCUGCAUCAAGAGAUUUUCCCCCUACCUAGGACUUUGUUUCCAGGGAUAGUUCUUAAAUUGUUGAUACUCUAUUAUUUUAUAUGAACACAUAGUUUGUGUUCAUUCAACAGUGAAAUAAAUGUAUAUGUUUCAGGAGUAAAAUAAGUGAUAUGGGAGGAGAGGGUGCUGGGAGCAGGAGGGAUGAAAAUGGAUUUUUGUAGAUGAGGAACUGCUUGGUAUCUGUUGCAAUGGAAUUUUUUCCUGUUAUUUCAUCUAUUUUUAAUUGUCUCCUAAAUGAGAUGGAUAAUAUCUAACUGCUCUUGACCAAGACCUUGGACAGCCCAGGUCUGUAUUUGUUAUUCUGGGGCUUAUUAUCAAACCUAAUGAUUAGUAUUAUAAUUAAGUUCUAUUCCAGAUCAGACUGUAUCUCCAAGAAUGUAGUAAAUACAAUUCAAGUGUCAAUCUUGUGCCUAUAUCAGUAUUUACAUAACAACUUAACCAUUACAAAAAUGUGCCAUAUGUAAAAUGUUCCUUUGUAUGAGAAACAAAAAGACUGCCAAAUAUACAAAUUCUACAGAUACUAUUAGGACCCAUGUAACCCCUAAGUUUCCUUUAAUGUAAUAACUAAUACAAAGUAUCAUACAAAAAACUACUUGAUAAAAGUUUUAAAAUCUAAAGAUUAUGACUAGGGGAGUGUGGGUGGCUCAGUGGGUUGAGCAUCUGAUUCUUGAUUUCGGCCCAGGUCAUCUCAUGAUUUGUGAGAUCGAGCCCUGUGUCAGGCUAUGUGCUGACAGUGUGGAACCUACUUGGGAUUCUCUCUCUCUCCCUUUCUCUCUGGCCCUGCCUGCUUGUGCAUUCUCUCUCUUUCUCUC